UCGAAUGCAUUCUUAGGUACA
rnacentral:piRNA from 1 species